rnacentral:rRNA from 1 species
AGAACGAACGCUGGCGGCAUGCCUAACACAUGCAAGUCGAACGUGAUCCAUGACUUCGGUUGUGGUGAAAGUGGCAAACGGGUGAGUAACGCGUGGGAAUCUGCCCAGAGGUAGGGAAUAACCGCGGGAAACUGCGGCUAAUACCCUAUGUGCCCUGAGGGGCAAAGAUUUAUCGCCUUUGGAGGAGCCCGCGUCGGAUUAGGUAGUUGGUAGGGUAACGGCCUACCAAGCCUACGAUCCGUAGCUGGUCUGAGAGGAUGAUCAGCCACACUGGGACUGAGAUACGGCCCAGACUCCUACGGGAGGCAGCAGUGGGGAAUAUUGGACAAUGGGGGCAACCCUGAUCCAGCAAUGCCGCGUGAGUGAUGAAGGCCUUCGGGUUGUAAAGCUCUUUCGGCGGGAAGAUGAUGACGGUACCGCAGAAGAAGCCCGGCUAACUUCGUGCCAGCAGCCGC